AUCCGGCUGACGAGUCCCGAAUAGAACGAAACGAGCAUUCUGGAU
rfam:Schistosoma rodhaini strain Burundi genome assembly, scaffold: SROB_scaffold0012185